UCCCUCUUGGGAUCUCACCUGGAGAGUUUCCAGUACUCUACCGGACUCGGCUACGGGAGGGAUUGUCAAACAGAGGCCUACUCAUUCCAUUCCUAGCUUGGCCAGUGGCUAGCGAGUGGAAGGCAAUUUUCUACAACU